UCUACAAAGAAAACAUUAAAUUUCACAGUAUGUGUUAAUUUCAAUUACAGAUAGUCUAAAGAAACAGGCAAGACAUUAUACAACUCUACAGAAGAUGUACAAAAGCAAGGUCAGACCCAACAAAAUGGAUGUUUCACAGCUCCUGGACCUUGGAUUCCCAGCAAGACAUGCCUUCAUUGACUCUGAUCUUACUAAGGGGCAGGACAAGCCUACCAAGAUUCUUUAAGCAUAUCCUUGCUUCAGGGAACUGGCUCAUUGAAGCACUCAAUUGCCUUGAUGAAGGCUUUACCAGACAUGUUCCCAUCACCUUUGGCUCCACCCAAGAAGUUAUAUGCAAGUGAGGCUAUGCUUCACAUCCUUGAGUGUAAAGACGACCCUCAACACCUUUCUUCAGACAAGGCCGUUCUUCAGUCCUGUCAUGACUGUCUGCAAAACCAAAUGCCUACUGACCAUUGAAACCUUAAGUGUUAUGUAUCUCAUGGCACGUUAUUACACCUUUCACCUUACAUAUCCCUAAGUGCAUUGCGCCACUUCUUUAGGUGCUGCAGACUGAAGUACUGUCAGAUGCCAUCCAUGAGAAUGACAUGACCUCUUCAUACAGAAAAGCUAUGGCUGAGUGGAAAAAGUUCCUUGCUGAGUAGAAAUGCACAAAACGUUUUUUUUCAUCCCCAGUUGUUACUGCGUCCCUUGUAGUGCAAGACACAACAAACUUCAAAUUUGAUUGCAUGUUUAAUUGUUUGGCAGGGUGUUGGUUUAGUUUGCUGCUCAUCUAUUCAUAAGGUCACUGCAUUUGAUAUACUGCAUAUGCUGACAUUCUCAUUUUCACAGUGAGCAAUGACCUUGUUUUUGCAUAUUGUUCUGCCAUACAUGCCUCUGGAUAAAGAAUUAUUUAAGCAGUCAGUCAAUUUGUAGUAUAGUUUACUUUUCUCUGUAAAUUCCAGGGUAUUUUGUCUCAUUUCAAAGCAUUUAAACCAGCAAUGAAUGUUAAAUUCAAGCAAAA